rnacentral:rRNA from 1 species
CAUGCAAGUCGAGCGGACAGAUGGGAGCUUGCUCCCUGAUGUUAGCGGCGGACGGGUGAGUAACACGUGGGUAACCUGCCUGUAAGACUGGGAUAACUCCGGGAAACCGGGGCUAAUACCGGAUGGUUGUUUGAACCGCAUGGUUCAAACAUAAAAGGUGGCUUCGGCUACCACUUACAGAUGGACCCGCGGCGCAUUAGCUAGUUGGUGAGGUAACGGCUCACCAAGGCAACGAUGCGUAGCCGACCUGAGAGGGUGAUCGGCCACACUGGGACUGAGACACGGCCCAGACUCCUACGGGAGGCAGCAGUAGGGAAUCUUCCGCAAUGGACGAAAGUCUGACGGAGCAACGCCGCGUGAGUGAUGAAGGUUUUCGGAUCGUAAAGCUCUGUUGUUAGGGAAGAACAAGUACCGUUCGAAUAGGGCGGUACCUUGACGGUACCUAACCAGAAAGCCACGGCUAACUACGUGCCAGCAGCCGCGGUAAUACGUAGGUGGCAAGCGUUGUCCGGAAUUAUUGGGCGUAAAGGGCUCGCAGGCGGUUUCUUAAGUCUGAUGUGAAAGCCCCCGGCUCAACCGGGGAGGGUCAUUGGAAACUGGGGAACUUGAGUGCAGAAGAGGAGAGUGGAAUUCCACGUGUAGCGGUGAAAUGCGUAGAGAUGUGGAGGAACACCAGUGGCGAAGGCGACUCUCUGGUCUGUAACUGACGCUGAGGAGCGAAAGCGUGGGGAGCGAACAGGAUUAGAUACCCUGGUAGUCCACGCCGUAAACGAUGAGUGCUAAGUGUUAGGGGGUUUCCCGCCCCUUUAGUGCUGCAGCUAACGCAUUAAGCACUCCGGCCUGGGAGUACGGUCGCCAAGACUGGAAACUCAAAGGAAUUGACGGGGGCCCGCACAAGCGGUGGAGCAUGUGGUUUAAUUCGAAGCAACGCGAAGAACCUUACCAGGUCUUGACAUCCUCUGACAAUCCUAGAGAUAGGACGUCCCCUUCGGGGGCAGAGUGACAGGUGGUGCAUGGUUGUCGUCAGCUCGUGUCGUGAGAUGUUGGGUUAAGUCCCGCAACGAGCGCAACCCUUGAUCUUAGUUGCCAGCAUUCAGUUGGGCACUCUAAGGUGACUGCCGGUGACAAACCGGAGGAAGGUGGGGAUGACGUCAAAUCAUCAUGCCCCUUAUGACCUGGGCUACACACGUGC